rnacentral:rRNA from 1 species
AUUGAACGCUGGCGGCAUGCCUUACACAUGCAAGUCGAACGGCAGCACGGGAGCAAUCCUGGUGGCGAGUGGCGAACGGGUGAGUAAUAUAUCGGGACGUGCCCAGUCGUGGGGGAUAACGUAGCGAAAGCUACGCUAAUACCGCAUACGAUCUAUGGAUGAAAGCGGGGGAUCGCAAGACCUCGCGCGAUUGGAGCGGCCGAUAUCAGAUUAGGUAGUUGGUGAGGUAAAGGCUCACCAAGCCGACGAUCUGUAGCUGGUCUGAGAGGACGACCAGCCACACUGGGACUGAGACACGGCCCAGACUCCUACGGGAGGCAGCAGUGGGGAAUUUUGGACAAUGGGCGCAAGCCUGAUCCAGCAAUGCCGCGUGCAGGAUGAAGGCCUUCGGGUUGUAAACUGCUUUUGUACGGAACGAAACGGUGAGCUCUAAUACAGUUUGCUAAUGACGGUACCGUAAGAAUAAGCACCGGCUAACUACGUG